rnacentral:lncRNA from 1 species
UGGCAGAGACGGCAAGAAAACUUGGAAUUUUAGUUAUUUCUGAUGAAGUUUAUGCUCAUCUCACUUUUGGAAGUAGACCAUUUGUGCCUAUGGGAGUCUUUGGAUCGAUUGCCCCUGUUAUUACUCUCGGAUCCAUAUCAAAGAUGUGGAUUGUCCCUGGUUGGCGACUUGGUUGGCUUGUUACAAAUGAUCCAAAUGGUAUACUAAAAGAGCAUGGGGUACUUACCUUUUAAAGAUGGCCAUUUUCUACUGCUUCCACACAUAUUAUAGGGGACUAUAUAAGUAUAAUAUGAUAUCUUAGAUUAUUUUACAAACAAACAAUGUCUAUCCGUCGUCACUUUGUGUAUUGUUAUUUGCAGGUCAUAGAUUCCAUCACGGGAUAUCUCAAUAUAUCUUCUGACCCUGCGACUUUUAUUCAGGUUUGCUCUUUAUAGUUCUCUCUUCUGCUUGCGUUCUUUUGGAAAUGUAACACUUGUUGUUCCAUUUUGCCACACAUUUGGUAGAGUUGCUAAAGGAUUGGAAUUUAUUUUGGUCUAACAGCUUGUUGUAUUAUGUAAACAUGUUUCACAUAAGCUAAUGGAAUAGUUAUUUGAAAAUUUAGUAGUAUAGGUGUAAUUUUCCUCGUCGCUUACUGAGGUAUCUGGUUUCUUUUUGUUCUUACUUUGACAGGGGGCAAUUCCUCAGAUCCUUAAGAAUACAAAAGACGAUUUCUUCUCUAAAAUAGUAAAUAUGCUAAGAGAAGAUGCAGAUUUCUGUUAUGAAAGAAUCAAGGAUAUUCCUUGCAUCACUUGCCCAAGUAAACCUCAAGGAUCUAUGUUUGUGAUGGUAUGAGAAAAAUGGAAGCUUAAUUAGUUAGAAGAUGUUAUCAAUAGUCUAAUAUAGGUCUUUUUCCUCUUGUAGGUUCAACUUCAUUUGAAUCUUCUAGAAGACAUCGAAGAUGACCUGGACUUUUGCGCAAAGCUGGCUAGGGAAGAAUCUAUGAUAAUUUUACCAGGUAAAAGAAAACAAAUCUCUUAGAAAGCUAAUCAAACUCUGUCGAAACAGUAGACAGAUUUUCUUACUUGAACAAAUGUCCCUUUCUUGGAGGACAAUCUUUUCAAGUUCCUUUAUUUUUUUCGAUUUCUUGCAAUGUUUCUCAUACGUUUAGUCAAUAGAGCUUUCGUAUUCAUGGGUCAUAAUGUCAUUUGAUUCUUUUAUUACGCCAAACAAGCCUUUAAUUGCGUCCAAUUCAGAAAGUUCCUACAGGACAAAUAGAAUUCAUCCAUAUACAUAAGAUCUGCCAUGCUAGUGAUCAUUUUUUGGGAUACAUACAAGUCUGAUUAUCAAUGCAAGUAUGCAACUGAUACGAAAGCAGAAAUUCGUCAAUUUUUAUUAGACUCCAUAGAUGUAACCAUGUUUUAUGAAGGUAAAAUUCGUGUACUUCUGGUAUUGAUGUAUUAAUUCGCUGCAUGAAAGUAGACUCACUCAAAAGAGCUAGCAUAUGAAUACAAAGUUUGUGUGUUCUGCAUGCACAAAAACUGGUGUGAUGCUAUGCUGUGUAUAGAUAUCUGACAAUAACUCUUGGUGCAGGUAUUGCUGUAGGACUCAAGAAUUGGCUCAGGAUAACCUUUGCAUGUGAGCCAUCAUAUCUGGAAGAUGGGUUCCAGAGACUAAAUGCUUUCUAUAAAAGGCACGCCAAGAAACAAUAAGCUACUGUCUGAGAAACAGCCGUUAUAUCUGUUACCGUCCCCUGAUAUGGAGGACGCUGCAAGAUGAAAUCAGAUAUUUUCUUCCUACAACCUAUGGUCCUGGUUCGUCAAGAGAACCUGCAAUCUUGAGUUAAGAGUACUCAAAAACUAAACAAUUUUCUGUUUUUUUUUUUUUUAUUGAAUUCAAGUAACUUUAAAAAUAAUGUUGGUGGAUAUCUCUGCUUUGCGGAGUGGCAAUUGAUCUUCAACUACUCGUUGACCCUCGGUGUGGUGUACGAACAAUAGCUCAUACAUAAGUUGGCUAGAUUUUCAACAAUUUUGUCGAGUCAUCAGAGGAAUGUUAUAUGUUAUUCAGAAUGGUGGUAUCAGCUAAUUCCGGAUUAUCACAGACAAUAUCAUUCUGGGGAAUAUCAUCCGGAACUCCUGCUAGUGAAUAUCAAUAAUGCACCAUUACUAGUGAAUGUGUUUUUAAGAUAGCCUUUAACUAGCAAAGCUAGAACACGUGUUUGUGAAAUGUGCAGAUUGUUUAAUAUUGUUGGGCACAAUUGGUUGCUAAGUAAGGACAAUCUUCGAUCUUACAAUUCUUAUACUCAAAUUCUUUUGCACUUAGACUCUUGUAACUUCGUUUGAUACGUUCUUGCGAACUCACUCUUUACUUGAACACAAAUAACUCAAAUGAACCACUUACCUUUCUAGAUUUUCUGUUCUUUGCCUUGUAACUAUAUUUCUAGAAUUCACCUCCUAAUUCUCUACAAACUCUUGGAAUGUUCUAUAUGUUUUUGUUAGGGCAAAGAUAUUUAUUAUUCAAAGUCCAGAAAAAAAACAAACUAGUUUCUGUGUUUCUUAAGAAGGAAAAUAUUUUUUAAUUUUCUUAUAUUUGGUUGGCUUAAAUAUUUUUCAAAUGAACGUAAUUUAUUAAAAGUAAGAAAAAAUGUAUUUUUCAAAACUUUCUUCAACUUCACCACCCAACCUCUAUCACGACCCGAAACCUGACUAUCAACCCCGACAUGGAAUUCGAUUCCUAAUCCCGACUUUGAUUAGGGAUCCGAAUUCGAUCCAAAAUACGACUUCCAACCUUGACACAGAUUAGUAUUUGACCCAACCAAUCCCCAACUUGAGUCAAGGUUGGGUCUUGGCUUAGGGUUUGGUCUCAAGUUGGGUUAGGGUUAGGUCAGGGUAGGAUCGAGGAUUAGUUUCUAAGUUGGGACUAGGAGUGGCAAAUGAGUGAGUUGAGUUGAGUCGAAUAUGAGUCGAUCGAAAACGAGUUAAAUAAAAAUGGAUAAAGCACUCGGCUCGACUCACAUUUUAAAUGGGUAAAAACGAGUUACCCAAUGAAUAAUAUGGGUACUCAUAUUAUAGUUAAGAUCUUGUUAAAAGCUUUAAAAAUAAAAUCUUUUUUAUUUUUUUAUCACUCCACCCUCCCUACCAGCCCCCACCCCCCAUUCCAAAAAAAAUUAUAAUUUUUUUUUUACCACCCCCCAAUGCACCCCUCACAUUUUAAAAAAGAAGAAACUUUUUCUACCACCCACCCCUAAUCACUUUUCUUUCUUUUAUGAAUGAACAUUUUUUAUUCAUAUUAUCCAUUUAACUAUCCACUUUUAAAUGGGUAAAUAUGAGUAUUAUUCGUUUUUACCCAUUUUAAAAUGAGUUGGGUACUCAACCCAUUUAAAAUAGGUAAAUAUGAGUGAAUACCCAUAUAAAUUACCCAUUCUGCCACCUCUAGUUGGGAUCGAUGUUAGGGUUGGAGGUGGGGUUGAGUAUUGAGUCAAGGGCGAGGUUGUGUUUCUGGUGGAUGUUGAGGUCCGAUCGGAUCUCGAGUUUGGAAUGUGAUAAAGAGGUUCGGGUUUGUGUCAAAGAGUGGGGUCCGAAUAUGAUGUUAUAAUAUUUGUCCAGAUUACAUCUAAGUAUUUUGGGAAAAGGGUUUGAUAUACCUCUCAACUUUGUUAUUUAGAGUUGAUAUACUCCUCGUUAUAAAAGUGGCUCACACAUAUUCCUAUCUUUAUAAAAUUGGCCCGCAUAUACCCUUUUCCUCUAAGGAAGUGAAAAAAUAUGUUUUAUUAAUAAAAAAAUAAUUAAUCUUUUAUUAAAAAACAAUUCAUGUAGGGUAUAUGUGAGCCAUUUAUGUAACAAUUGUAUAAAGGCCUAAUCCAUCGGUGACCUCCUAAAGUUGGCAACAAUUUUUCACUUAGACACUUUAAAUAGACUUUGUUUGUUUUAGACACCUCAUGUCAGACCCUAUUGUGUCAUUUUGACACUUUUUUCACUAGUACAUGUUGACUCCAAGUGCGUGUUAACCAAGUGCGUCCACAUGGAUUAAAUGCCCAAUUAUAUCAUGCCAACUCAUUAAAAGUCUAUCAUAUUAAAGAGAAAAAAAUAAGAAUCAAAAUAUAAGACAAAGUAACCAAUGAAUAAAUGACAUGUGGUUUUUUUUAUCAAAAUAAAUAAAUAAAAUAGUUUGACAAAUUUAAAGAAAAAUUCCACACCCCCACAGCUUCCCAAAGUCAUCUUCUCCAUUGUAUUACUCCAUUUUUAUUAUUUUUUUAACCUUAUUUUUUCUGCCAUAAACCCACACCCACACAAUCUACUCUAUCAUAUUCCUCCAUUUUCAUUGUCUUUUCCGUCACACUCACAUCCACACAGUCAUGUUCUCUAUUUUAUUCCUCUUUUUUCAUUUUUUUUUGUCAUAUUCACUGAAUUUUGACCGUUUUCUUCACUGCACCUCCCCUCACAUUUUUUCAUUUGAUUCCGGGUUAAGAGGUGCAAAUGUAUAACAAACAAUGGUUCGUAUUUUUAAGCUCGAGUCUCCUUUUCUUUAAUUUUGAGAUAUUUGUAAUUUAAUUAGGGCUUAAGGUUAGUGAGAUUAACAUUUACAUAAUGAAAAUUGGGAUCUUUUUGGCUCCUAUUUUUGUUAACUUGAAAUUUGAGUUGUUGGCAGUUAUAUGUUGGCAAUUGAGACUGUGGAUAUAUUUAAUUUGAAGAAUUGUUUUUACUUUUUUCUUUAGGAUUAUUGUGGGUGAACUUUACAUGAUAUGGGUGUUGUUGAUAUGGGUUCGAUUUCUUGUUUCUUUUUGGAUCUACCUGAGCUUGUAGUGGGAAAUUUAAAUUGAAAUUAUAAUAACAAAAGAUUUAACCUCCGUUGAAGUACUUUAAGCUUUGAGAAAUAAUUGGAGAGAUAGUGGCUGUAAAAUGAAAAAGAAGAGAGAAAAAAUAAAAUAAAAUAGGCUAAAUAAGCCACUCACGCGUCAAUAGCGAGUGUAUAACACUCACUUUGUCAUGUCAGUGGAAAGGGUCAAAUGACACAACAGGGCUUGACACGAGGUGUCUAAAAUGAAUAAAACCUAGUUAAAGUAUUUAAGUGAAAAUUGCUGCCAACUUUAGGGGACCACCGAUGAGUUAGACCUUGUAUAAAUAAGCCACUCUAAAUGAUAAAGUUAAAAGAUAUAUAGACCAUUUUCCCAAAUAUUUUUGGGAUAAUAUUUUUCUAAGAAAAAAAAAUCACUUUCCCUUAGAAUACAACCCUAAUUUAAGAGGGCGAAAAUCGAGGAAAGGCUCAAAACAGUCCCUCAUCUUUGGAUUAAGGCUCAAAGUCAUCCUUGAGUUUUCACAUGGAGCACUAAUAGUCCCUCAUAUUUGCAAUAUUGGUGCACUUUUAGUCCUCCCCUAAAUUUUUGCCUAUUUUUUAACAUUAAUUUUGUUCACAAUUUUAUGUAAGGAAUGUCCAAUCGUCUUUUUAUAUAUUUAGUAGAAAUAAUAACUCUAUGUGAGAGAAGGUGAUAAAAAGAACACCUUGUUCUGUUCAGUAUAAAUAUUACUGCAGUUAAACUAACAACAUCUUAACAUAUGACGUUGGAAGAAAAGAAAAAAAUUGUACUAUUGCACGUAAAAUGAUCGUGAUGAACCUCUCGACUUUACCUGCAAUACGAUUUCUACUAAACAAAACAAGAUGCUUUUCUUCUCACAUUCUCUCAUAUGGAGUUAUUAUUUCUACUAAAUAUAUAAAAAGACGAUUGGACAUUCCUUACAUAAAAUUGUGAACAAAAUUAAUGUUAAAAAAUAGGCAAAAAUUUAGGGGAGGACCAAAAGUGCACCAAUAUUGCAAACAUGAAGGACUAUUACUGUUCUAUGUGAAAACUCAAGGAUGACUUUGAACCUUAACCCAGAGAUGGGAGACUAUUUUGAGCCUUUCCUCGCGAAAAUCACUUGUAUUGUGCCUCGUGAGAUACACGAGCUUAUCUUUUCUGUUUGUAACAAUGACUUGAAAUUCAUUGUGAUGAAAGAUUGCGUUGACUUGGGUCCGAAAAGGCGGUGACAAAGCUGAAAAUCUAUUACUCCCUCCGUUUCACAAAGAAUGACCUCCUUUCCUUUUUAGUCAGUUUAAAAAAGAAUGACCUCUUUCCUUUUUUGGUAACAUUUUACUUUUUGCUUUCCACGUGACAUGUUUAAGACCACAAGAUUAAGGGCAAUUUUGUACAUUUGACAUAACUUUAAUUUAGGACCACAAGAUUCAAAAGUCUUCUUUAUUUACUUAAACUCCGUGCCAAGUCAAACCAAGUCAUUCUUUGUGAAACGAAGGGAGUAUCAUUUUUGUCAUUUUCUUAUUAGCUUUCGCACACUUCAUCUAAUCUCACAGGGUAUGGUCAACCUCUCACUAGCAGCAGCUACUAGAUAACUAUGUCCAUCAAAUAAAAAAUAAUUACGUAGCAUCUUUUAAUCCCUAUUAAGUUCUCAAUUACUAUGGUCAAGCCACAACUGUUCUCUUACAUGUAACUGUUCGUAUUGAUUGUCUUUUUUGAAUCACUACUUUCUGUUUGUGGGUUUCUAUCUCUUUUCUAUAUUUUGGCUUUGUAGGUUUGAAUAGAAUUGCAGUUACAUUUCUACCUCCUUCUUCCUCAAGUCCAUAUCUGCGAAUUCAUAGUCACCAGCAUGGAGAACGACACUACUACAACAAGGAAAAUAUGAAACUUUAAGGAAAUUGAGAAAUUGGUGAGUGCAUCGAAUCUCACCGUAAGAAGUGUGCUUGACAAGUUGACGUCUUGCCUUGACACUGCUGAUACCCGAUCCGUUAUCCCUCUCGGCCAUGGCGAUCCUUCUGUUUUCCCCUGUUUCCGUACUACACCAAUCGCCGAAGAUGCUAUCACUGAUGCCAUUCGCUCUGCUAAAUUUAACUGUUAUUCGCCCACUGUCGGCAUCCUUCCUGCUAGAAGAUAGCAUCUUACUCAAAAUUUUACUGUUAAUUGGUUUUGUAAAGAUUCUGAAAUUUGUGAUUAAUUUUUUACAUCACUUGGUUUAGGUAUCUCUGCCACUGAUUGCGUAUUAGUGUUUCUCAUUUGGAAGUGUUUGAUUAAAUGUGUACCUCACUGUAAUCUGUUUAAUUGUGAGGAGGUGGAUUCAGAAUUUUGAGUUUAUGGGUUUUGGAUUCUAGAAAAUAUAGCUUACUCAGUUCGGAAAUAAGUUAUUUAUACAUAUUGGAUAUAUAGGGUAGGGCCCAAAGUUACUGAUUCUGCCAAAUUCGUAACCAAGGCUCUAGCUCCGCAGCUUUAUUUAGUCUAAAGUGCAUUUUUCAUGAUCGUCAAAUUCAUUUAAUUCUGUUCUCUGAAAAGGGCGGUAGCAGAAUACCUUUCUCAAGAUCUCCCAUACAAGUUGUCCCCUGAUGAUAUUUACUUGACAAGUGGAUGUCUUCAAGCAAUUGAAGUACUUUUGAGUGCUCUUGCGCGUCCAAACGCAAAUAUUCUACUUCCAACUCCUGAAUUCCCUUUUUAUGAAGCUAGGGCUGCAUUUACCCAUAUUGAAAUGCGCCACUUUAACCUUCUCCCGGAGAAGGAGUGGGAGGUGGAUCUUAAUGAGGUUGAGUUUUUGGCCGAUGAAAAUACCGUGGCUAUGGUCAUUAUUAAUCCUGGUAAUCCUGGUGGCAAUGUCUACACAGACCAACACUUGAAGAAGGU